rnacentral:lncRNA from 1 species
GGGAAUUGAACCUGAAAUCUGGUUUUCAAACAAAUACAAGACCUCUAGCUUUGACAAAUAGGCUAAAGAGAAUGGAAUAACACCUUUGAAGUUGUUUUGGUACAAAAACAACCUUCGAAGUUCAGUUAAUGAUCCCAACCAUGAUGGGAUUUCUCCACUGAAGGUGUUGUUACCAAAGCUUAAAUAUUUCAGCCGUCGCAAAUUGGAUAACUAGACAGGUAAUCUGCCAUAAAAACUAUUGUUUGUGACAUAAAGAAGAGAAAGGAAUGACAAAUUUCCCAAGUGAGGUUGAAGGGUGCCUACGAGUCCCAACUGUUAGAGUUAUUAAUAAAAUAGUCAAAGCUAUUACUAAGUCAGUUAGCAGUUAAGCUAUUACUAAGUCCGUUAGCAGUUAGAAAGUUAGCUGUAAUGUCAGUAAGCUUUAGCUUACGUGCUUGUAUAAAUACAUGUGAGGUCUGCAUGUUUUAAGUGACCUAAUGAAAAUAAUUCUCUUCUUGAUUCUUUCAUUUUCUUAGUUUCUUGUAGUUUUACAUGGUAUCAGAUGUAAGUUUUUCCAGGCAUUUUUUCUUCUUCUUUCGUUAAUCCGCUGUGCAGUCUGCAUAGUCAAUAUGGCCUUCAAUUCUUCUGACGGAGCUAUUGACAGUCGGUUCUUUUCUACAAAGAGGAUUAGUGUUCUUCUUGACGAUAAUACCUAUUUACUGUGGCGUCAGCAGGUUCUCUUGGCUAUAAAAGCGCAUAAACUUCAAAACUUCUUGGACCCUCAACAAGAUCCUCCCACUCAGUUUCUUGCCGAUGGUAGUGGUGGUUUUCAUGAGAAUCCAGAGUUUGCACAUUUUGAGCAACAAGAUAGUGCAUUUGCAUCGUGGUUGUUAUCUUCUAUUAGCCAAACGGUGCUUCCUCAUCUUAUUGGUAUGGAUACCAGUGCCAAGAUUUGGAAUGCAGUUGUUACUUGUUACCUUGUUUGGUAGUAAAACCACCUCUAAACUGAUCUCCUGUCGAAGAGCUUUGCAUUCUCAACGCAAGGGCAACUUGAGCAUGAAGGAGUUCUUGAUGAAUGUUAAAAGUUGCUGUGAUAAUCUCGCUAGUUGCGGUGAAGUCAUCAGCGAGCAUGAGCAUGUUACUGCAAUACUCAAUGGUCUUCUUCCAGAAUAUAAACCUGUCAUCACCAUUGUUACAGCAAGUCAAGUGCCCUACACAGUACAAGGUGUAACUUCCAUGCUUCUCGAUACUGAAGCUCGACAGCAGGUGAUGAGUUGUAAAGUCUCCAGUUCUGCAAACUUGGUGUCUUACCAGUCUUCUGAGUCUUCCGAUACUACUGGUUCAAUACCUGCUUAUCGACAGUCAUCUGCAACUCGGGGACGUCGGUGAGGGCGUUCGUCCAACACGAGGAUUCAAUGUCAGCUAUGUGGGAAAGCUGGUCACCUUGUUGACCGUUGUUACUAUCGGCUCACUUGUCCAUACACGUCAGCUUAAAAUGGACUUGUUGAAUUAAAACACCGACAGGUAGUUGAAACCGGCCUGUCCAUGUUAGCUCAUCCAACCAUGCCUUUGAUGUUCUGGAAUGAAGCCUUUUGCAGUGCCGUGUUUCUGAUUAACAGAUUACCCUCCCAUCCCUUGGGUGAUAUAUCACUAUAUGAAAAAUUGUUUAAAACAAAACCAAAUUACUCUUUCCUUCGAACUUUUGGCUGCUUAUGCUUUCCUAAUCUUAGACCUUUCAAUAAAACAAAGCUACAGUUUAUAUCUAUUCCUUGUGUCUUUCUCGGCUAUUACCCAUUGUACAAAGGUUACAAAUGUAGAGACCCUAUUGGUAGAAUCUAUAUUACUCGUCAUGUCACAUUUAAUGAGGCCAUUUUUUCCUACAAAAUGCAUAGUUCAACAGUCAUCCCAUCUACUGCUGUUCCACAGGUCAAUACAAAACUUCUUGUCCUACAUCCUAGCACUGUAUCUUGUAAUAGCAUCCCACCUAAUGUUAUUUCUACUAAUCCCUCUUCAACACCCACUUCACAGUCCACCUAUCCUAUUUUAGCUCAAACAUCACCUGCUUCACCUACGUUAUCUAGAUCCUCUUCACCUCCACAAUUGCAACCCUCCCAAUCCGCCCCGAUCAACACUCAUUCCAUGAUCACCAGGAGUAAGGUUGGAAUUUUCAAGCCAAAGGCUUAUUUGAGCACGACAUCUUCUUCUCCUAGUGAUGUUUCCUCUAACAUACAUGCAACGAUGGCGUUUGAAUGCUGGCGAAUAGCGGUUCACAGUGAAUUGCAAGCUUUGGUUCGUAAUAAUAUGUGGACUCUUUGUUCUCUCCCUGAAAAUGGACGAGCAGUCGGGUACAAGUGGCUCUUUAAAAUUAAAAGGAAGGCUGAUGGGUCCAUCGACAGGUACAAAGCAAGAUUAGUUGCGAAAGGGUUCUCUCAACAUACAGGGCUUGACUUUCAUGACACAUUUAGUCCACUAGUUCAAGCUUCCACCAUUCGCACUAUUCUUGCGUUAGCUGUUAUGCAGGGGUAGGCAAUGCGUCAAGUUGACAUCAAUAACACCUUUCUUAAUGGUGAGCUUACUGAAGAAAUAUACAUAGAGCAACCCUCUGGUUUUGAAGUCUCAGGUGCCUCUGGUCAGCCACUUGUGUGCAAAUUGAAUACAGCACUCUAUGGCUUGCGACAAGCCCCUCGUGCAUUCGAGUGUCUACAGGGAAUUACCUGCUUCUCAUGGUUUAUUUCGAUGACAUUGUGCUCACUGGUAGUAGUGUUCAAGAUAUAGAUGCUGUGGUACAUCAUCUUCAUAACAAAUUUGCUCUUAAGGAUAUGGGAACUCUCAGUUUUUUUUUGAGAAUUGAUGUCCAACGUACGUCCCAAGGAAUGUUGCUCAAUCAGAAGAAGUAUGUCACUGAGCUUCUUCUCAAAACUGGUAUGAUCGGGGCCAGGGAUUUAAAUUGCGGUCGCGGUCGCGUUUUCGGUCGCAUUGCGUUUAUCGCGGUUGCGGACAUAACGGAUGCUAUUGCGGUCAUUGCAGGUAUCGCGGUCGUGAAUUUUACAUUACUUAUUGUGUAUUGCGGGUAUAGCGGGUUUCGGCAGUAGCGGUUUCGGACGGUGCCGUUACCGCUAUAUAACGGCCGCUAUUUCGGUAACGGACCGCUAUUUAAAUCCCUGAUCGGGGCAGCUUCUACACCGACACCCAUAGUAAGCACUCCCAAGUUAGUUGCUUCAGAUGGCAGUCCUAUUUUUCCAAAUGUUCAUUUGUACCGAAGUACAAUGGGUAUGCUUCAAUAUAUAUGUAUUACACAACCCGAUUUGUUGUUCUGUGUAAACAAGCUUAGCCAGUACAUAAGUUCCCCCAGUGUCACUCAUUGGAAAGCUGUCAAACGUGUUUUAAGGUAUCUGGCUGGCACCAUAGAUCAUGGUUUGUAUUUUGCAGCAGGUCCAUUAGAGCUGGUGUGUUACUCUGAUACUGACUGGGCCUCAUCCAUUGAAGAUCGACGGUCUACGUCGGGAUAUGUGGUAUACUUAGGAUCAAAUCCUGUUACCUGGUGCUCAAAGAAACAGUCGGUGGUAUCCAGGUCGUCUGCUGAAGCAGAGUAUCGUAGCCUAGCCAACUGUGUGUCUGAACUGCUGUGGAUUCAACAGCUGCUAAAUGAAGUUGGAGUACCUCUGUCUAAGUUGCCAAUCGUCUGGUGCGACAAUUCUUCUGCAGUUUCAGUAGCUGAAAAUCCCACGCAUCAUUCUAGGAUGAAGCAUGUGGAAAUAAAUCACCAUUUUGUUCGUGAGAAAGUUCUUGCUGGAAUCCUACAGGUCAAUUUUGUUCCCUUUGAUCAACAGAUUACAGAUGUCCUCACUAAACCAGUUACUCCUAAGCUGUUUUCAUCAUUUCGACAUGCUCUUCGAGUCUUGACGUUAAGUGAACUUAAUGAUAAAAAAUCAAACAUGCUAAGGGAAUGUUAGUUAUUAAUAAAAUAGUCAAAGCUGUUACUAAGUCAGUUAGCAGUUAAGCUGUUACUAAGUCAGUUAGCAGUUAGAAAGUUAGCUACAACGUUAGUCAGCUUUAGCUUACGUGCUUGUAUAAAUACAUGUGAGGUCUGCAUGUUUUAAGUGAUCUAAUGAAAACAAUUCUCUUCUUGAUUCUUUCAUUUUCUUAGUUUCUUGUAGUUUUACACCAACCCAGUAAGGUCUAGAGCUGUGACUCUACGGUGCUUGGAUCCACAACUUACACCAAACCAAUAGCAAACGGGGGAAGAGGCUGACCAAUUAGUUGUUAAGACAUUUUCAGGAUCAUGAUGAAUAACAUGAUCUCUUAGUGUUAGAAGAGUUGAUUGAUCUGUAAGUAUGGUGGUUAAUUUCAUAGAGAAAUUAGUAGGCAUAGAAAAAUGGAAGAUGAUAAGAAGAGCUAAGUUGAGGAAAGUAUUCCCUGCUUAUCGAGCUACCAACGAAGGCAGAACUGAAUGUUGUAAUUUAUUCUUGCAACAUUGCAAAUUCUUUGAAUGUGAUUUAGGUAGAAACUAUAGAAUUUAUUAUAGGAUGUGAUAAUAUGAUUAUGUAAUUAUUGCUUAAAAAACUUCUUUCUAAAUUUCAUAUAGUUGCACUAGUGCUAAGAUUACAACUUUUUUUAUUAAAUUAUUCUAGAUUAGUGAAAUUAUUAGACAACGUGAUAAUUUCUUAUCAGAUAGGAAGUGACAAGUGAGCAGUCACUUCCAAGAAUAUAAACAACUCAAUCACUCUCUUAACUAACGGUAUCAAACACUAAUUGUUGUUUCUAUUGACUAAAAGAAUUUUCAACCAAAAAUAUGUUGACUUAAAAUUAAAAUAAACCAUCAAAUUUCUUAGAACAUUCAAUGAGGUUGAAAGAUUUUAUUUUUAAUUUUUGUUAUUUUGGAAUAAUUUUUUUUCUUUAUAAUUUUACCAAAAAAUAUAUUUUAACUUUUUAUUUUUUUUAGUCAUUAAACUUACAUUGUUUGUCAAAUUAUCCCAAAAUAAAUGGAAAAAAUCAACGUUUGUUAACUUUGCUAAUGUGCCACAUGUGGAUUGUCACGGGAAUGUCAAGUUAGAAAUUAAUUCAUUUUUAAAAAUUUAAAAAUUUAGAAAAUAUUAUUAAUUUAUUUUUAAAAUACUAAAUUUAUUUAAAAAGUAUAAAAGUAUAAAAUUAUAAAAAAAUUUUUAUUUUUAAAAAUUAAUUAAUUGCUAACGUGGUACAUUAACUUUUUCAUUCAUUUUAGAUGAUUUGACAAACAAUACGAGUUUAAAAGUUAAAAGUGAUGGAAAAUUAAAUAAAAGGCUAAAAUGAAUUUUUAAAAAAAUAAAUUUGAAGCGCCAAAAAAUUCAUCAUCCUUUUUUUUUGUCCUAUCAAUACGCUUAACAACAUGCCACCAUAAUUUUGAUUUUCUCUGGUAAGUCUGUAUGCCAUAGGUUUUUUAGGAAAGCUUUGUUUGUAAUUUCAUUAGUAUCAUCAUCUAGACUAGAGGUCUCUUUCAGUAGCCUUCUGUAACCACUCCUCACAAUAUACUCUCUUGUUACCUCCCCAUUCCAUACCCUAUUUUCCUCUCGUGGAUGUCUCGCUAGAGGAAUUUGCAAGAUAGUUUCUACCUCUUCCCCUGUAAACAAAGAGGUAACAAGAUCCUCCUUCCUUUGUCUCAGAUUAGAUUCACUCAGCUCUUCCACCUUAAUUAUAUUGUGAUCUCAAACUAACUCCUGGAUUUUUUUAUCCUUCAACCCAAGGAUCCGAGCAUCCUGCCACUCUCCAAGCCAUUCCAUCCUAUAGUAGUUGCUUCGUCGCCCAUAAGCUCCUCCAAGUAUAAAAAGGAUAAUUACCUAACUUUGGUUGCAUGAACUCGACAUUGGGGAAUAUUUAGCUUUUAAAGUUCUAGCUAAUAACAAAUCAUGAUAAUUCAUUAAACUCCAACCCUAUUUUGCAAAGGCUAAAUUCAACUUGGAUAAAUUUUUAAACCUUAUUCCCCCAUCUUCAUUUAGUUCACACAAUUUAUUCCAAUUGCAUCAAUGAAUCCCCCUCUUUCCUUUUUGUUUCUGCCACCAAAAUCGAUUUAUAACCUGUUCCAUGUCAUGACAUAAAGAAUUCAGUGGUAAAAAACAAAACGUAGCAUAAGUCGGAAUUGAUUGCAGUACACUCUUAAUAAAAAAACUUCCUUCCCUCCCUAGGGAAGUAUUUUAACACACCAAUUAUUUGUUCGUUUUGCAAUCCUAUCUUUCAAGCCCUGAAAGGUCCUUCAUUUUUGCCUCCCCACAACAUUCAAGAGCCCCAAAGACUUCUCUGGAUCCAUCAAACAACGCACCCUUAAUAAUUGAGCUACUGAGUCCUUUGCAUAUGUAGAAUUAUUUGAACUAAAAAAUAGUGUUGAUUUCUCUAAGUUGAUACUUUGCCCUGAAUAUUCUUCAUACUUCUGCAAAAUCCUUCUAAUCUCAUUUGCUCGCUUUUCUGUAUCUUCACCAAACAAAAUAUAGUCAUUCGCAAAAAGCAAAUGAGUAAUCUCAAGACCCUUUCUACAUACCUUGACACCUUUUGUUCUCCCCUCCCCUUUCACCAUCCUCAUCAAUGUCAACAACCCCUCUCCACAAAUCAAGAAUAGAUAAGGACUUAGCGGAUCCCCUUGUCUAAGGUUAUAAUCUCCUUAACUUGGACUAGACGUUAUGACCAUAUUAAAAAGGCUACAUUAGACUCCAAAAUGACUAAACAGACUAUUUGACCUUUGAAAAUCCUUAACACACAACUAGUUUUAAAGAAAAUUGGUAUUGGUGAUCCAAGUUAGAUAAAACAUUUGUUUAUUGGGUUUUCUUACAAAAAAAAACCCUAAUUUUUUUUCUAACUUUAGAAAAGUCAUCACCCUUGAAAUUAAUUAACAUUAAAACAUUCAUUCAAUUAGGCCAUCUUUACUUAGAUUCUAUUUUAUUAUUGUUGUCAUGUUUUAGAAAACUAAUUGUUUUGAUAUUUUGUUUCACAAAAAUCAAAUCUUUAAAAUGUAGUGGAAAACUAUUAUUCAUAUCAUUUUAGAAAUCCAAUUGCCUUAUUGAUUUGUUUUUCAAAGCAGUUAAUUUGUAACACAAUGAAAAAUUGGUGAUCAAUGCCAAUUUUACUUAAGCCAUAUAUCAUGCAAUUAUUAGUUAUUAAACUUCAGUAAUAUAUGCAUGCACAAAAUCUCCCUCCCCUAAAAAAUAAUCAAGCCAUAGACUAGAGGAGUUCAUGGGCCGGGCCGGGCUCAAAAAAAUUUUGACCUGUCCUAAAAUAUGGGCUUAAAAUUUUGAUCCAGGUCCUACCUGAGAAAAAAUUUCUAAGCUCGGCCCAACCCAUUUUUAAUAAACAUCAAAAAAUUAUUUAAAAAAUAAAAAGUAUUUUAAAAUUUCUAAAAAAUAUAUAUAUUUAUUAUAUCGGGCCAAGCCGAGCUCGAGCCUAGGCCAAAAAAGUGGUACCCAAAGCCCAAUCUAUUUUCUAAACCAACUUUUUUUUAUCUAAACUCAUAUUUUAAAUCUAUAUAUUUACCUGAAUUCUCUCAUAUUUCGGGCGAAUCGUCCUGACAUGAGCACCUCUAGCUUUUAAGGACUUGAUUUUCAAUUUUUAACUUUUCCUUUGUUUUUCUUUCGUUCUGUUUAUAUGUCAGGUCUCCAAGAUGCCCUCCUUAUUUGGCUCUAACCCUUCAUCCUCCGAUCCUGCAAACGACACCGUGCCUUCCCCUUCCUCUUCUUGUUCCUCCUCCUCCUCUCCGGACAUGUGGAAUUACUUUUUUAUCCCUAUCCUCCUCCACCUCACCAAAAAACUCUCCCUUGCUAAAGCUCAAACCUCAACUGGACUCCUCCUCCCGAGUCAACGCGGCGACGGCUCGGCCGAUGAUUCACUAAUUUCCUUUUCGAGGUGCGCGAAUGCUGACCCGAAGCUAUAUUAUCGGCCUGUGAUUGGGAUACUGAGUCAUCCAGUAGGCGGCGCGUCGGGGGGCCGUUCCUACAUAGUUGCGUCGUACGUGAAGUUCGUGGAAGCGGCCGGGGGUCGAGUCAUUCCUCUUAUUUAUAAUGAGCCGGAAGAGAUUCUUUUCCAGGUAAUAAUCAUGAUGUUCAUUUCCUUGUAAAAAUGCUGAAUUUUGACUUUGAAUAUUUGCGUGUGUGUGUGUUUUUUAAAAUUCGGUUAAAAAAAAUGGACAGUCGUGAAUCUAUUUUUGGAAAGAAAAAUUCCUGAUUUAGAAUCUUAAAUAACUUUGAUACUGUGAAAUUUGAUACUGUGAAUUUUUAAUAUUUUGUUUCAUAAUAAGUUUUUCCUCUUAAUUAAAUGUAAGAAUAUAAAAAUGCUUGCUAUUCCCGCAUUUCAAAAAAUUCUCUCGUUUUUGUUAAAUCAUAAAAUUAGGAUACUACCAGUUGUUGCAAUCUCCUUACUGUCUAUGCAAAGGAUAGAAUUUUAGCUUAGUUGCAUUUUUGUGGAUAUUCUUUAGUACCUUAAUAUUUGAAAUGAUAUUUUGAUUGCAUAUGCAUAUGCAUAUGCAUAUGCCUUUCAUUCCCUUGCUUUUGAUUUGCUACGAUUAGACAGUGGUAUGAUGCUAUGAUACCCGCUUUAGCAUAGUUGUUGCCUUCCUUUGCCAAAAGCCUGUCACCUUGCUAAGUGUCUUCUCCACCUUCGUAUUGCAGAAGCUUGAAUUGGUUAAUGGCGUGCUUUUACCAGGAGGGCGGUCUAAAUCCGGCUUGUACUAUGAUAUUGCUGAAAAGAUUUUCAAGGUAAUUUAUAUUUAUAUUUGUUUGUUUCUUGAUUUUAUGAAAUUCACAUGAAACUAACAAAAAAAUAUAGGCAAGAGAUUGGUGUUAGCAUGCAAGUCUUUUGUUUCUUCAACUUAUGCUUCAAAUGUUUUUAUAUUUCCAAUUUUCCAUGGGUUGCAUAGAAAACUUUUAUUCUUUGUGUUUUUGCAGAAAGUUAUAGAGAAGAACGAUAGGGGAGAUCAUUUCCCGUUAUAUGCCAUUUGUUUGGGUUUUGAACUUUUAACAAUGAUUAUCAGCGAAGUAAGCACCUCACAUUAUCUGACAUUUUUUUUCUGUUUCCUUUUUAAAAAAAAAAGAAAAAAGAAAAACAAUUUAAUUUUCUUCAGGCUUUUAUCUGUUUAUAUGGCUUUUUUAUAUGGCUUUUCUUGAUGUAGUUAACUUUUGUUCACUAUUGUGGACUUUCUCUACUAAUAUUCAUUCAUGCGUCAUGGCAGAAUGACCAAAUGAGACGUUUUUAAAUUUCUUGAUUUAAGGAACUCUAUAAUUUCCAUUUGUGAGAGAUUACUGUUGGCCUAACAUGGCUAAAUAAUGGCAAUUCCUGCAUGUUCACCGUAUUGUGGAAACUGCAGUAUUUGAUCCGUUAGGAUGGCAUGGUUACCUUGUUUGUGGCAUCCAAACCAAUGGUUGACCUUGCUGGAAAACAUUUUCUAAUGGAUUUGAAAUCUCAAAAUCUUAUCUACUGGUUCUUUAGAAAUCACUUCAUUUCAAGUUAGCUUAAACCUACCCAUGUCUACUGUAUCCAAUAACUUAUUUUACUUAAGGAUUUUCUUUGUUGAAUUAUAAAAAAUUUGACAAAAUCUUAUUUUAAUGAAUACAUACUUUUUUUCUUCUUGCUGAUAGUGUUAACAUUAAUGGGAGACAACAUUAAUGGCAAACAAUACAAAGUGGUGCAAGUUUAGCACCCUAAAGUUGACUUUGAAAAAGUGGCAUGGGAUAAUUUUUUUUGGUCCUUGAGAUAAUGGGCUAUUUAUUGUUUGGUCCUUAAACCUCAACUAUAAAUAAGCCUUUUCAUUUCUUAUUUCAAUUCAUCCCAACCAAUCUUUCUCUCUUAGUUUUCUCUCUUCUCCCAUUUGAGAAUUCUUAAGGAAUUCUAUUUGUUUGUAAUACUUUGAAGAUAGUAAAGUUAUCAUCUGGUGUUAGUGCCCGAGGACGUAGGUAUAAUUUACCGAACCUCGUUAAAACUCUUGUGUUCUUUCUUGUCCUAUUUUUCUUUCAAUAUUUGAGGGUAUAAUAGUAGUAUUUAAUUGUGCUAUUAAAUUACUAUAGAAGGGAUAUUCUGUCUAAGGAAAGACUUGGUAUUUAAGAGAUCCAUGUGAUCCACCUCUCUUUCCUGGGAAUUGAACUUUGUGUGAUUUUUUAGUACAAUAAUUUACACGUUUUCGACCCUAUUGGAACAACAAGUGGUAUCAAGAGCCGAAGGUUAAUCGUAGUAUGCUCUGUGGUUGCAGUUUAAACUGAUCUUCCACAUCAGAAAAGAUUUCCUUAGGUAUAUUGAAAGAUUAUGGAGAAAACGGUCGGUGUAGGAGCUUCAACAUCGUCCAUGUGGACAAGACCGACAAUUGCAAAUGCAAGAUUGGCCGUGGAGAUCUUUGAUGGCACGGGCCAUUUUGGUAUGUGGCAAAGUGAGGUUCUAGAUGCCCUUUUUCAGCAGGGUCUAGACAUUGCCAUUGAUGAAGAGAAACCAGAUGAUGUACAGGAGAAAGAUUGGAAGGCGAUCAAUCGGUUGGCAUGUGGCACAAUUCGAUCAUGCCUUUCUCGAGAGCAGAGGUAUGCUUUUUCAAAGGAGACUUCUGCAAAUAAGUUGUGGGUGGCACUUGAAGAAAAAUUUUUGAAGAAAAACAGUCAAAAUAAGCUCCACUUGAAGAAAAGACUGUUUCGCUUCACAUACGUCCCAAGUACCACAAUGAAUGAUCACAUCACCAAAUUCAAUCAGUUAGUCACUGAUUUGCUGAAUAUGGAUGAGACAUUCAAAGAUGAAGAUUUGGCUUUGAUGCUGUUGGGGUCACUUCCUGAGGAGUUUGAGUUCCUAGAAACUACUCUACUUCAUGGCAGGAGUGAUAUAUCUCUGAGCGAAGUCUGUGCGGCCUUAUACAGUUGUGAACAGAGAAAGAAGGACAAACAGAAAAACUCAAUCAGAGAUACAGAAGCUUUAGUAGUCCGAGGUCGUUCAUACACUCGGAAGAAAACUCAAAAGGGGAGAUCAAAGUCAAAGUCCAGACUCGGGAAAGAUGAAUGUGCUUUUUGUCAUGAGAAAGGCCACUGGAAGAAAAAUUGUCCAAAGCUGAAGAAUAAGGGAAAAGCUGCUGUAGAUGCUUGUGUUGCUAAGCAUGAUACUAGUGACUCUGAACUAUCACUGGUUGCAUCAUCAUCGUCGUUCCAUUCAGAUGAGUUGAUAUUGGAUUCGGGUUGUACCUAUCAUAUGUCCCCUAACCGGGAGUGGUUCUCUGAUUUAGUAGAACUAAAUGGAGGAGUUGUUUAUAUGGGCAAUGACAAUGCUUGUAAAACUGUUGGAAUAGGUUCAAUCCAAUUAAAGAAUCAAGAUGGAUCAACCAGAGUUCUGACUGAUGUUCGGUACGUGCCCAGUUUGAAGAAAAAUCUCAUCUCAUUGGGAGCAUUGAAAUCCAAUGGUUCAGUUGUUACUAUGAGAGAUGAGAUUUUGAAAGUGACAUCUGGCGCACUUGUGAUAUUGAAGGGCAUCAGGAAAAAUAACUUGUAUUACUACCAAGGUAGUACAGUUAUUAGAGCAGUCGCUACAGCUUCCGGUAACAAAGAAUUGGACUCAAUGCAGUUGUGGCAUAUGAAGUUGGGACAUGCCAGCGAAAAAUCCUUGCAAAUUCUGGCAAAGCAAGGAUUGUUGAAAGGUGCAAAGGCUUGCAAAUUAAAAUUUUGCGAGCAUUGUGUUCUGGGAAAGCAAAAGAGAGUGAAAUUCGGUACUGCUAUCCAUAAUACAAAAGGUAUUUUGGAAUAUGUUCACUCAGAUGUGUGGGGGCCUUCCAAGACACCUUCCUUGGGAGGAAAACACUACUUUGUUACUUUUGUUGAUGACUUUUUCAGAAGAGUUUGGGUGUAUACCAUGAGAACUAAGGAUGAAGUGUUUAGAGUUUUUCUUAAAUGGAAAACUAUGAUCGAAAACCAGACUAGCAAGAAAAUCAAGCGGCUUAGGACGGACAAUGGAGGGGAAUAUAAAAGUGAUCCGUUCUUCAAUGUGUGCCAAGAGUAUGGUAUUGUUCGACACUUCACAGUUAGGGAUACACCACAGCAGAAUGGAUUGGCAGAGCGUAUGAAUCGAACAUUGCUGGAGAAAGUUCAAUGUAUGUUGUCCAAUGCUGGAUUGGGCAAGCAAUUUUGGGCUGAGGCUGUGACAUACGCUGGCCAUCUUGUUAAUCGUUUGCCAUCAUCUGCAUUAGAAAGAAAAACUCCUAUGGAGGUAUGGUCUGGAAAACCGGCUACAGAUUAUGAUUCCUUACAUGUGUUUGGAACCACUGCAUAUUACCAUGUGAAGGAGUCAAAGUUAGAUCCGAGGGCAAAGAAAGCUCUCUUUAUGGGAAUCACUUUUGGAGUGAAGGGAUUUCGUCUUUGGUGCUUAAGCACAAAGAAAAUGAUCUGUAGCAGAGAUGUUACCUUUGAUGAAUCUGCCACAUUGAAAAAGGUAGCAGAUAAAGAUAUUCAGACGAGCAAUACUCCACAGCAGGUGGAGUGUACUCCAAAACAGGUGGAGUUUGAGCAGAUGGGGAUUUGCCCAGUUAAUAAGUCUAAUUCUCCAGCCACAAUGGAGGAAUUAGAGGUUGAAGAGGUUCUGACCCAAGAACCACUAAGUACACCAGAACCAGUUGCAGUUGUAAGGCCACGGAGAGAAAUUCGUAAACCUGCUCGAUUUACUGAUAUGGUGGCCUACGCCCUUCCCGUUGUUGAUGAUAUUCCUAUCACUUAUCAAGAAGCAAUGCAAAGCUUAGAAAGUGAUAAAUGGAAAAGCGCCAUGGAUGAUGAAAUGCAGUAUCUCCGGAAGAACAAUACUUGGGAGUUGGCGUAAUUACCGAAAGGUAAAAGGGCAAUCGGAUGCAAGUGGGUAUUCGCAAAGAAAGAUGGAUCUCCUAGCAAGAAGGAUAUUCGCUAUAAGGCAAGAUUGGUAGCUAAAGGCUACGCUCAGAAGGAGGGAAUUGACUACAAUGAUAUAUUUUCCCCUGUUGUGAAGCAUUCCUCCAUUAGAAUUUUGUUGGCUUUGGUAGCACAGUUGAAUUUGGAGCUAGCUCAACUUGAUGUUAAGACGGCUUUCUUGCAUGGUGAGUUAGAAGAGGAGAUCUAUAUGACUCAGCCCGAAGGAUACACAGAUGCUGGUGGUAGAAAUUGGGUUUGUAAGCUGAACAAAUCGCUAUAUGGAUUGAAGCAAUCCCCGAGGCAGUGGUACAAGCGAUUUGAUAGCUUUAUGAGAAGGCAGAAGUACACAAGAAGCAAAUAUGACAAUUGUGUAUAUUUGCAGAAGCUGCAUGACGAAUCUUUCAUUUAUCUACUCUUGUAUGUUGAUGAUAUGUUAAUCGCUUCGAAGAGCCAAAAUGAGAUAGAUAAGCUGAAGGCUCAGUUGAAUCAAGAGUUCGAGAUGAAAGAUCUAGGUGAGGCCAAGAAGAUUCUCGGCAUGGAGAUAAGUAGAGAUAGACCGAGAGGCAAGCUCUGUUUAAAUCAGAAGCAAUAUCUGAAAAAGGUAUUACAAUGUUUUGGUGUAAAUGAAAACACAAAACAUGUAAGUACCCCACUUGCUUCUCAUUUGAAACUUAGUGCUCAAUUAUCUUCGAAGACUGAAGAUGAAAGAGAAUAUAUGGCGAAAGUCCCAUAUGCUAAUGCAGUUGGGAGUUUGAUGUAUGCGAUGGUGUGUACGAGGCCUGAUAUUUCACAAGCUGUUGGAGUUGUGAGCAGGUAUAUGCAUGAUCCUGGAAAAGGACAUUGGCAAGCAGUGAAAUGGAUUCUACAGUAUCUUCGAAAAACCGUAGAUGUUGGUUUAAUUUUUGAACAGGAUGAAGCACUUGGUCAGUUUGUAGUUGGAUAUGUUGAUUCCGACUUUGCUGGUGAUUUAGAUAAACGUCGUUCAACUACGGGGUAUCUGUUUACUCUUGCGAAAGCCUCAGUGAGUUGGAAGUCUACCUUACAGUCUACAGUAGUUGUGUCUACUACAGAGGCAGAAUAUAUGGCAGUUACAGAAGCUGUUAAGGAGGCUAUUUGGCUUAAUGGAUUGUUGAAAGACUUAGGAGUUGUUCAAAGUCACAUAAGUUUAUAUUGUGACAGUCAGAGCGCUAUUCAUUUAGCGAAAAAUCAAGUCUAUCAUUCAAAAACCAAGCAUAUCGACGUAAGAUAUCACUUUGUGCGGGAAGUCUUUGAAAAAGGAAAAAUUCUACUUCAGAAGAUUCCGACAGCAGAUAAUCUCGCAGAUAUGAUGACCAAGGUGGUAACAACAAUCAAGUUUAAUCAUUGUUUGAACUUGAUUAACAUCCUAAGAAUUUGAGCACCUUCAGGUGUAUGGCGCUCGAGAGUGCAUUUGUAGGCACUACAAAAGAUAGCUUUAUCGAAUUUGGGGAGUUGAAGGAAGUGUGUGAAGAUGUGAUUAUCCUAAUCAAAUCUUCAAGGUGGAGAUUGUUAACAUUAAUGGGAGACAAUAUUAAUGGCAAACAAUACAAAGUGGUGCAAGUUUAGCACCCUAAAGUUGACUUUGAAAAAGUGGCAUGAGAUAAUUUUUUUGGUCCUUGAGAUAAUGGGCUAUUUAUUGUUUGGUCCUUUAACCUCAACUAUAAAUAGGCCUUCUCAUUUCUCAUUUCAAUUCAUCCCAACCAAUCUUUCUCUCUUAGUUUUCUCUCUUCUCCCAUUUGAGAAUUCUUAAGGAAUUCUAUUUGUUUGUAAUACUUUGAAGAUAGUAAAGUUAUCAUCUAGUGUUAGUGCCCGAGGACGUAGGUAUAAUUUACCGAACCUCGUUAAAACUCUUGUGUUCUUUCUUGUCCUAUUUUUCUUUCAAUAUUUGAGGGUAUAAUAGUAGUAUUUAAUUGUGCUAUUAAAUUACUAUAGAAGAGAUAUUCUGUCUAAGGAAAGACUUGGUAUUUAAGAGAUCCAUGUGAUCCACCUCUCUUUCCUGGGAAUUGAACUUUGUGUGAUUUUUUAGUACAAUAAUUUACACGCUUCCGACCCUAUUGGAACAACAGAUAGGACAAAAAAAUUCUUGAACGAUUUUCUGCAUUAAAUCGGGCCUCUAGUCUCCAAUUUGUGGAAAAUGUUAAUAUUGAAGGAACAGUAUUUCAAAGGUGCAAAACCUUUAUUACCUUUCAUGGUACAUUAGUAUUGUUUGAUUUUGGUGCCAUUUUUCUAUUGAUGCUUUUGCUCAGAUUUUACAUUAUUAUCCUUGGAGGAUUAAGUAUUUUAUAUUUCAAAUAUGUUUUGCUGGUCAGGCAUUAGAUGAUUUAUAGGAAAGUUCACAACAGUUAACGUGUUGAAGUAACGAAAGCCUCUCUGUAUGCGCUGCUAAUAAGGGAAAGAGUCUUGUAAUACAUAUGCAGUUUAUGUUCUGUCAGACUGAUCUCUCCAUUUCACUAUUUGAAUAAGAACUUUGUUGCAUGAGGAUAGAGAAAAGGAAGUCAACUAGUUGCUUGAGAUUUCCUGAAGUUGUUCUUCAGGUUAAAUGAUGACCAUAGCAUAAUAUUUGGUGUGAAACUUUGGUACUAUGGGCUUACCACUUUUCUUGUUAGCUUUUGCUUGCACCAUAGGCACAUGGCAAUGAAUUGGUAUGGUAACCAGACUUCACAUGAAGCUUUUAGUGUAGACCAUAAACAAGUUUAACACUUAAAUAGGAAGAGAAUAGAUGUGUGCUUGUUUAGCUUCCUGAUUAGUGUCAUUGAAUUUGUUCUUAGUUGAUUGAGGAGAGUGUAAUAAACCCUUCUCUGAACUUCAGAGUUACACCUUUGAUAAAUAGCAAUAGCUGAGCACAGCAAUAAACAUUAAUUGCCUGUUUGCUUUAUCAUCAAAAGGCUUUAUGAAUGUUGUAGGUAUAUCCAUUUAUAAUAUCUAACCUUUCAAUCAGUAGUAAAAAUGAGGUGAUUUUAAGCUGAUAAUUUGUAGUUUGGUCCAAGUUAGUAGCAGAACAAUAUUGUCAUAAACUUUCUACUUAGCCCAACCUGGUUGACAUCUUUUAUUCGAGAGCUUUUCUUAUAGUCAGUGUAAUUAUAUGUUCAUUGCUCCAGUCAGUGCCACACUUCUACAGCUUGAUAGUUAUUCUCUUUUGCCAGAUUUCCUCCAAAUUUGCUGCAAAAGCUUGGCACAGAUCGCCUAGUCAUGCAAAACCAUUGUGUGAGUUUCAUGGCUCCUUUCAUUUAUAUUUUAAAUUAGUUGCACGUGUAAGUGUUUGUCUUUUGCUUCUCUAGUAUGUCCGCUUUGGAUCAUUCCUAAAACCUUGAACUGAUAAUGAAGGAUCUAAAUUCUGAUUUAUUCAAUGUUUUCAUUUUUUUUUCAAUUUUUGUUGCCACUGGUUGCCUGUUUCCUCUAUUUGGCACUUUUAACAGCUUCCUACUUGUUAGCUUGUGCAGAUUAUUAUUUGAGAGAUGAAAUGUAUUUUAAUGCACAGUAAAUUGUUCAUGCGUUCUGUUCUCCUAAUAUGUAAUUUGAUUUCCUUGAACCUCAUUCUUGGUCUCUAAAAGCCUAACUUAGAAGAAAACUCAACAGGCAAGAUGUCGUGCUAAGAGUAGAGACCUGUCAAAGAAGAAAAAUGCUAAUAUUUCUUCAGAGUUAAGGAUAAUAUAUCCCUAUUCAAAAGUUAUCUUUCUUUCAUGUGCGUAUUAAGAGAAUCCUUGCCGCCCUCCUUUGUGGCACAUUGUCUGUGUUAUGUUUCUAUGUACAAGCUAAUUAGCAUUGCCUAAAAUCAAUGUCUAAUUGUAACAGUGGGGCAUUUCACCAGAGAAGCUUCAAAAUACUCCAAAUCUGUCCAGAUUCUUCAAGAUCUUAACAACAAGCACAGAUAAAAAUAACAAGGUUCUGAAUCUUACAAUCCCUAUGCCAUAGGAAGUGUCUUAACUUGAUUUAUCUCAUUACAUUUUAUGGCUGCUGUAAAUGUCCUUAUUUCUAUUUAAGUGUUAAUAACAGGUAUAUGUCUCCACUGCACAAGCACAUCGCUAUCCUGUCACUGCCUUCCAGUGGCAUCCAGAGGUACCUCUUUUAGUGCUUUCUGAUCAUCGUCAUGUUUAUGCCUCAGUACAGUUUGGCAUGGCAAUUUUAAUUUUUCUUGUUAAAUAAUAAUCAUAUCAAUGACCACUACAAGGAAUUGGUGUCCUUUUUUUCCCUAUUAACUUCUUUGUGUAUCUCUGCUUCUGUUUCUCUUACUCCUUUUAAUUUUGUUUGCAAAACUGUAGUGUUAUUCUAUGAUCCACUAAUACACUCCAUUUCAUUAUGAAUAGUCUGACCAUAUAUUUUGCAGAAAAAUGCUUUUGAAUCGGGCUUGUCUAUGAUUCCACACUCAGACGACGCCAUUGAAGUGACACAACAUGUUGCAAACUUUUUCAUCAGGUUAGGAAUGUUAAGUAAGGAAGUUAUUAAUAGUUCUCUAUAUUCUUACAAUUUAGUCAACGACAAACUGAGCGAAUGUUAUAUUCGAGUGAGACACAAUCUUGCUCUUCAGCAUAUUAUUUGGGUUUUGGGCAGCUGUUCCUAUGUGGAUAUGCUUUGCUUCGUCCUAGAGCAUAUGUAAGGAAGAAAUGUUUAAAGGAACUUAGAUAAAUUUUAGGAUAUAAACAAUAUAAGAAUAUAAAUAGUUUAGCAUGAAAGGAGAAGGAAAGGAAAUAGGCAAAAUUCAUUUUCAGCAUGCUAUACUACAAGUAGUUUUUCUGGCUGAGAAUGAAAUGCCCGUGGUUUUAUGAAUAUAAGAAAGAGGAAAGGAAAGAAAAUGCGUAUUUCUAAUUAUGUGACAGACUAGAGGUGAGGUAUUUGUGUUCGCGGCAUAAGAAUUUGAGUUCAAACCCUAACAUUGUUUCGCCCUACCAAAUUAUAAAAAAUAAAUACCAUCUCUUUCCUUCGUCUGUUUGGAAGAUGAGGUAAUUGAACUUUUCUUUUUUCUGGUACAGAGAGGCUAGGAGAUCACUGAAUAGGCCAGCUGCUCAAAAAGUGCGUGACAGCCUUAUUUAUAAUUACAGGCCCAAGUAUUAUGGGAAAGCUGGGUAAGCUGAUAUCAAUCCUUUUGAGUUUUGACACUAUUAGGACACCAUCCUCUUGAAUGUAAGCUGAUUGACAUGGUUGUGAAUUUGAAUGCUGUAGGAAGGGUUUCGAUCAGGUCUACAUCUUUACACAACGUCAAGCUCGAAAUUGAUAGAGUUGCGGCCGUGUACAUAGUUAAAGAUGUAUGUGGUUGGAUGUAUGUAUAUUGUUGACGCUGUAUUUGCAUUGUGAUUUGUAUCUGAUUGCUCUCUUAAUUUAUAUAAGCUACGGACUGGAUGCUUGCCAAUGAGGUGUAUGAGUAGUUAUUGUUGAUGAACAAAGUUUGCAAUGCUUAUUCUUAUUAGCUCAAAUUCUAAAAAUGAUAAUGAUUAAAGUAUAAUCUGUUACUUGUGUUAUAAAUAAGCUUGAAUACUUUACCAUAGAAAUAGGGUUUAAGCUUAAAAAUACAUUCUUUUUGUGUGAGAUAAAUAUAAAAAGAACUGGAUUUGUAUUUGAUGCGGUUUAUGACAUGCUAUUGAAAAUAAGUGUAAAUUACAUAAAUGUCAAUCGACUAUUAUAAUUUUUGUUAGAUUAUUCGAAUUUAAAAAGUUUCAAAAUAAUCAUUUAAUUUAUUAAAUUUAUUAUAUCCAAAACUGUUAUAAAUUAGUAACAGUCGAAUGGUGUGUUGUUAACUUAAUGAUAUGUUUUUUUAACCCAUUAACUUUUUUUCACAUUAUUUCCAUGUCAUAUUAUAAUUUAAAAAAAAAACUAAUUUAAACUCCAAAAUUCCAAUAUGACAUGGAAAUGUGGAAUAAAAUUAAUGAUUAAAAAGACAUAUCGUUAACAGCCACGUCAGCAGAUUAUUAGUAAUUUAACAGUUUUGAACUUAAAAAAAAUGAUUUUGAUAGUCUGAUAAUCAUUUUAUAAUUUUUAAAAAUCAAAUAAUUUAAAUAUAUAUAUAAUAAUCGGAUAGCCAUUUAUUAUGUAGUUUGCCAAAGUAUUUUAUCAAUUGGAAGAUGAAGCAGUAAACCAAUAAAUAUGUUGAAUAGUCUCCAAUUAAACCAUUUAAGAUAUAAAUCCCAAUAAGUUCAAUUAAUGGCUCUAAUCAACUUUACAAGAAAUAGUUCUUGACAAUUUGAAGGGUGAAUAAUGAAUUUUCAGAACUCUUUAAAGAAAAUCGAGAAGAAAACUACUUUUAAGAAUCAGAAGAAAAAAAUCUUACACAAAAAAACUAACUCUAAACACCUAAAGUACAUCUAAAUAAAACUCUAAUUAAUCUAAAUAGGGGUGAAGCCAUAAAUUUUUUAGGGAGCCAAAAUUAAAUUGUAAUUUCUACAAUAGUAAAAAUGUAAUUUCACCAUUUUAAUAACUUAUAUCUUUAUAAUUUUUAAAGGGUUAAAUCAAAUUUUUAUUAUUUUUAGGGGUCAUAAAGUGUAAUUUUACAUUUAUUAAUUUAAAUUUUUUAAAAUUUUAAAGGGUCUAAAUGAUUUUUUUUUUCAUUUUAAGGGAGUCAAUGCCUUGUCAUCUCCUAGCUAGCGUUUGAAUCUAAAUAAAAAAUAGUUUUAAACUAAAUUUUCUUAUUUAACUCAAAAUACUUGGCCUGCAAUAAUUUUUCUUGACAAAAAGAUCCUCCAAAUAUUAUUUAUAAAUUUGUAUUUGAUACGUUGAUAGUGUUUUUUUUAUUCUAUAAAUAGUUUUAAAAUUUUAUCAUAUAUCUAUUUUAAAAAAAAUUUAUUUAGUUUUAAUAUUUUAUUGUACACCUAUGAUAACACUUGUCAACCCUUAAUCCUAUUUAUAAAAUCUAAAAAUUUAGUAACAAUUAACCAAAUAUUUCUCAUUAUUUAUUAAACUUAAUUAAAUAAUAGGUUAUCUAGUAUUUUUGAGUUAGCUAUCUAUUUUCUUAACCAAAUAUUUAAAUUACCAUUAUGGACCUAUGUAGUUUUUUUUUAUAUAGGUAGACAACACCAUAAAGUAAUUACAUUCUUAAAGUACUAUUAACAUAGAGAAAUGAUAUUACGCUCAGCUAUUAGUAUAUUUCUCACUGGAAUCUCUCAAAAUAAUUGUACAUUACCUAAUCCAUGUGAAGCUAUCUUGGUUAUAUGAUCAGCAAUUUUAUUUUUAGAAUCUCUCAAUUUGCUAUUAGCCAUUCCACCAAUUAAAAUUAAUUCUACUAGAAGCGCAUUGUCGCAUUUAGUAUUUUUAAUUAUAAAAAAUAAAUUUAAUGUUAAAUAAAAAUUACUAUUUAAUAUUAUAUUUCCUCUCUCCUCAUAUACAUGUUCUUCCUUUCCGAUUCCGUCAUUUUCAUCCCUUUUCUCAUUCAUCUUCAUUCAUGCAGGUUGAAAGGUUUUUUCUUUUUCUCGUUAAGCCAAUGACAUGAAAUUUGGGUUUUUAUAUUGAUGGAGGAGAACCGUUUCUGGGUUGAAAACUAUAAAUUUUGGACUUCUAAACUUGAAAAACCUAUGGCUACGCUUUGAUAGCACCAUUUGUGGAUGAGGUGUUGAAGCAAAAAUCCUUUAUUAAAAAAAGUUUGGGACUUUGAUUUUUUUUUCAAAAGAGUUCUUUUUAUUUUCUUUAAUUGUAAAAAAACAAAGAAACUGUGUUGGGGCAAGAAAAAGAAAAGCUGGAGAAGAUUGAAAGGGUCUUUGUUUAUAUGCAGAAUAUUCAAAGAAAUAAUUUGAAUCAUUUCCCAUCCAAUUUUAUAAAAAUAAUUAUUUUAACCUUCUAUUUAUUAUUUUAAUCACUUUUUAAUUUUUAAAUUUAUAAUAUUUAUCAAAUUAUUCUAAAAUAAAUAAAAAAUUUAACAUCGGUUACUUUUGCUAAAAUGGUAUACGCGCCACUUAAAUAUCACAUCAUCAAUUAAUUUUUUUUUAAAAUUUAAGUUUCAAAAUUUAUUAAAAGUGUUUUAAAAUAUUAAAAAUAAAAAAUAUUUUUUAAUAUUAAAAAAUUAAUUAAUUACUAAUGUGACAAUUAUAAAUGCACACGUUGAUUACCAUAUCAACAAUGUUACAAAAGCUCAAUGGAGGGCUAAAAUGCAAGUCUAGUGUUACUAAUCUCACAUUGCUAAUAUAUAUAAAGUACAAAGAAUUUGAAUAGACAAUUCAUUAUAACUUGAGUAAUUGAGUUGGGUGCAAUUAGAUAGUUAACUUAUUGAGUUUUACGUAUAUUUGUUAUAAUGACAACUGGGCUUAAAUUUGGUGGUGUAAAUAAUUUUUAUAUAUAAUAAUUAUUUUUAUUUUUUAAAAUAAUAAAUUUUUAUUCGCAUUUGAACGAAUUUAUUCAAAUAAUCUAUGUUAAAAUUUACAGUAUCAAAUUUUACCUAACAAAAGGAAAAGAUUAUUUAUGACCAUAUAAGUUAUUUAAGAUUCUAAAUCAGGAAUUUUUCUUUCCAAAAAUAGAUUCACGACUGUCUAUUUUUUUUAACCGAAUUUUAAAACACACACACACCCAAGUAUUUUUAAUUAAAUAUAUAUAUUUAAUAUUAUAUUUCCUCUCUCCUCAUAUUCAUAUUCUUCCUUUCCUAUUCCUUCAUUUUCAUCCCUUUUCUCAUUCAUCUUCAUUCAUGCAGGUUGAAGGUUUUCUUUUUCUCAUUAAGCAAAUGACAUGAAAUUUGGGUUUUUGUUUUGAUGGAGGAGAACCGUUUCUGGGUUGAAAACUGUGAAUUUUUGGACUUCUAAACUUGAAAAACCUAUGGCUACGCUUUGACAGCACCAUUUGCAGGAGGAGGUGUUGAAGCAAAAAUCUUUUAUAAAAAAAUGAUAGGGACUUUGAUGUUUUUCAAAAGAGUUGUUUUUUAAAAUUGUAAAAAAAACAAAGAAAACUGUGUUGGGGAAAGAAAAAAAAAAGCUGAAGAAGAUUGAAAGGUUGUUUGCUUAUAAGCACAUUGUUAAAAAAAAAAUGUUUGAAUUAUCUCCUCAUAAAAAUUAUUUUUACUUGUACGAGUUCAUAAAAUUAGUACAAAUUAUCAUCAAAAUUCAGGCUAACUUAUCAGAACUUUGUUUCAUACAUGCUCAAUCUUUUGAAUACUCAAUUGAUUAUGUUUGAUUUUUGUUUGAAGAAAAUAUUCAUCGAGUAAUGAUUAAUAUAGAUACCCAUUAACUUUAUUAUAACUAAAUCUUCUUUUAAAAAAAUAUUCACAAAAUGCAAAAAUAACUAUUAAUAAACUUUAUUGGAAAAUUAAGCAUGUGUAUAAAUAUUUAUCAAAGACAUUGCUAGAAAGCAAACCUCAUGUUUAUUUUAGUCAAUUCAACAACUGCCUCUUCAUCGAACUCGUUCCAUAUCCCUUAAUAACGUCACUUUGAUCUUCUUUAACUUUGUAACAAUCUCUUUCAUAUGAAGCCUCUCAUUUGGUAACUCUACACAACAUUCUAAGCCAACUUGCAAAAUGGAUAAGGCACAAUUCUUGACUUUUAAAUCUUCCCUUCCAAUGGUGCUCAACAACUUGGGAUCUACAACUUGAUUUCGCGAAGAUGAUAUCGACUCUAUCACCCAACUCUUCAAGCUUCUUUCUCCUGCAAACAUUUCAUCUGUGGGCUUUUUUCUUGUGAUGAUUUCCAUCAAAAGAAUACCAAAACUAUACACAUCACCUUUUGUCGAAACAAUUCCUUCCAUUCCAUAUUCUGUAUGAAUAUAAAACAACAUUAUGAAUAUUCAAAGAUAUCUUGAUAAUGAAAAUUUCCUAUAAAAUAUCUCAAACAUUAUAUGCUUGCCUGUUAUAAUUGAACUAGGAUUUACUCUAGUUGCUUCCUUAAAAAGUCACAUUCAAUGUGUUUGAAACUCAAAUGUUAACAAAUAUAUAUGAUCCCUUUUGUUAUGCACAUUCUACACUUCCAUUGAAAAUGGAAAAAUAAAUAUGGAGUUUGAUUAGAAGUAUCACCUGGUGCCAUAUAUCCAAAUGUUGCCAUUGUCAUGGUUUGUAUCAUUGAAACCUCUUCACAUAAGAGUUUCGCGAUGCCAAAAUCACUCAAAUGUGCAACCAUAUCUUCAUCUAAUAGAACAUUGUUGGGUUUUAAAUCACAGUGAAUCACGGGUGUUGCAUUGCCGUGAUGGAGAUAUUCCAAUGUAGAUGCAACAUCUAUCAUUAUGUUCAACCUUUGUAGGAUAUCCAAAUAUUGGUUGUUGGAAUACAGCCAUUUAUCAAGACUCCCAUUAGGCAUGAACUCAAGCACCAACGCUUUGAAAUUAAGAUCAUUAGAGCAACUGCUUAUUACUUUGACUAAAUUUCUGUGACGAGUGUUGCGGAGAACAUCACAUUCAACAUCAAAGCUCUUAAAAGCUCCUUCUAACUCAAACUUGAAGACCUUUACCGCAAUGAUCGUCCCAUCCGGGAGAGUCCCUUGGAAUACUGCACCAUAACUUCCAUUACCAAGCAACCUACUAUCAUUGAAUCCAUCAGUAGCUUGACGAAGCUCGUGGUAUGAAAAUCGUCUCCACGUUCCUAAAGGUAUCAUGUCUUCUUGAGUUGGCAAUUUGUCUUUCCUCCUCCUAUUUUGCAAGAUAAUGAUAAUCAGAGCCACAACCAAAAUUGUGGAGGCAAUUGGCAAAGCUACAUAUAGUAUGAGCUUAGUUUUUGCCUUGGAAUUUCUAAGAGGUCUAGUUUUGCAGUUUGGAACAUGAAGCCGAGCUGCACCACACAAGGCUUCAUUCCUCUUAAAUGAUUCGAUUGUGUAGUUUUCAAAUGAUCCUCCUUCAGGAAUUUCACCUUCAAGCCUAUUAAAAGAGACAUUGAAAUAUUUGAGAUAACGGAGUUUCUCUAAGGAUUUGGGAAUCUCUCCAAAUAGAUUAUUUCUUGACAAGUCCAAGAAUUCCAAACUCAACGAUUCAUCAAAAGACUCAGGAAUAGAACCCGUGAUUCUAUUAUUGGAUAAGGAAAAAUGAGUGAGGUCCUUGAGAUCUGCAACUCCAGUUGGGAUAUCACCUGAGAACUGAUUGUUCGACAAAUCCAAACUACUCAAAACUUUCCAUUUUCCAAUGUCAAUUGGCAGUGGACCACUCAGAGAAUUUGAAGACAAGUAUAGGAUGAGGAGAUAGUUAAGCCUUGUCAACGUUGACGGUAUUGAAGAGGAAAACAUAUUGGAGUCUAGAAAUAGUUGCCUUAAUGAAGUGAGAUCACCUAAGCAAGUAGGUAUUGGCCCAGACAAUUUGUUAUUGGUUAAGAACAAGAAAGCCAAUUUGUUUAGAUGACAUAACUCAGUUGGGAUGGAUCCCUCUAACUUAUUGUCCUUAAGAGAAAGACUUUGCAACUCUUCCAAUCCUCCAACUGUAGUAGGAAUCUGUCCUAUCAAUUUAUUGCCUCCUAGCUCAAGGCUUAUCAAGUGACUUAAGUUUCCAAUUUCACUGGGGAUGCUACCCCUGAUGUUGCAUGCAGAAGCAGAGAACUCUUCAAGAGAACUUGAGAGAUUUCCUACCACUCUUGGAAGUUCACCACUAAUAAAUGAGUUGAUCUCGAAAAAAAGGUUCUCCAAGACUCUACAGUUUGUCAAAGAAAAGAGAAAGCUCAUUCCUGAGGAAGUUAAAUUAUUAUUCGCCAGGUUGAGAAUCUUUAAAUUUCUUAGAUUUCCCAGAUUAUCAGGAAUGGACCCUGAAAAGUAAUUACUAGACAUGUCAAGAAGAGUAAGCUGAGAGGCAUUGGAAAUAUACAUUGGGAUCGAGCCGGCAAGGUGAUUGAAACCAAGAUAUAGUUCCUCCAUGUUUGGAAGGAAAAGGCCCAUGUUUGAUGGAAGAUGGCCAGAGAGCUUAUUUGUAGCCAAAGAAAUCAUCCUUAGAGUUGAAAUAUUGAACAGUUGUGGAGGAAUAGAACCAGCAAUAUUGUUAAAUUGUAAAUUCAACCAAUUUAGAUUCUUUAGGUUGCCAAUCUCUUGUGGUAUUAUACCUGCCAUAAAUUUUAUCAAACAAAAAUAUUAGACAAAUAUGAGGAAGAAAAUAGUUUAUAUAUAUGAAACAUUUGCUUAUAUUUUUUAUAAUGUGUACAAUUAUAGACAAUUAGAAUCAACAAUAUUUACAAAAAAAAAUUAAUUCACAAUAAGUUUAAAUUGAAUAUUUUAGGUUUAAAGUUGGAAUAAGUUCAAAAUGAGAAGGGAUUGUAUGAAAUUGUGAUUCCACGUCAUGAUCAGAUUUUUCCUCCUAUUUUUAGCUUUUUCUUCUUGAAAAAAUUAAAAUCUAACUAAAAAAAGUUGAAAAUCAGGAGGAAAAAUCUGAUUUAUCAUUCUCCUAUUGGAAAGGAAUAAAAAUGACGUGGAAUCACAGUUUUAUACAAUCACUUCUCGUUCAAGAUAUAGAAAAUAAUGAUGAAAUAAAUGAUAAAGAACAAACAUUCAUAAGUCAAAUAAAAUAAUUAAGAACAUAAAAAUAAAUCAAAUAUGAUUUUUGGUUCCUUGAAGUUUUGUUUGGCCUCAACAGGGAUAAACGUAAAUAAUGGACUUAAAAAAAAAAGAAAUAUACUAAUUGCAAUAACUAUGAAAAAUUUUAUAAUUAUUGUAGAAUAAUCAAAACACAGAAAGCGGUUGAGCAAAAACAAAGUUCAAAUUAAUAAAAAGCUAUCGGUAAAAGUUGCAAAUUAAUAAAAAUAAUUUAGCUCUUUCUUAUACAUUCACCUGUAAAAUUGCUAUGGGAACAAUCAAACUCCAUAAGAAGAGUUAAAUUCACAAUUUGUUUAGGAAUUUCACCUGCAAUUAUAAAAUUCACAUUUCAAAUUCAAAAUUCAUCUCCUAGCAACGAUUAUAAGAAUAAAAUUAAGGUAUAAUGACUUGUUUAGCUCUUCAAUUUUAUUAAAAAGAAUCAUUUUAGUCUUUCAUUUAAUUUUUCAUCUCUUUUAGCUCUUAAACUUGCGAUGUUUGUCAAAUCAUCCCAAAAUGAAUUGAAAAUUCCAUGUGAUUGCCACAUCAACAAUUAGUUUUUUAAAUUUUAAAAAAUUCUAUUUUAUUGCUAACGUGUCAGCAAAGUAAACAAACAUUAACUUUUUCAUACAUUUUUUUGGGCUGAUAUAACAAAUAAUACAAGUUCAAGAGCUAAAAGAAAAGGAAAAUUAAAUAAAUAGUUAGAAUGACUUUUUUUUAUAAAGUUGAAGGGCUAAAUAAAUAAUUAUUCCUAAAGUAAAUAAAGCACGUUAGCAAGGUAUUUCACACAUACACACUUCCAAGCCAAGUUGGAACUAAAAGUAUAUUUCUCUCAUCAUUUUCAUGUAGUUUAUUCUUCAAUGUUCUUUUGAAAAAUUUCAACUAUGUAUUCGUUUAAUAAAUAAAUUUAUAUUUUCAAUCUCAAUAGAAGAUUGAUCUAAAUUAUUAUAGUCAUUACCUUAAUUUCAUUAAAAAAAAAUCGUUCCUUGCAUCUCAAAGUACUUAAAAAAAAGUAAACACUUCAAAAGGUUUUAAAAAUGGUUAGCAUAUGUUACCAUCAAAGUGGUUCCGACUGUUAGAAUUGUGUGACCCAAAUUCUAAGAGAUUGCUUGCAAGUCAAGUUAAACAAAAAUAUAUUUUCUUUCUAGAAGAUUUAGUAUUUAUUAGUAUAAAUAUAUUUAGCAUUUAUUAGUAUAGUUUAUUUGACUUGCUAAUUUAGCCUAUAAAUAGGCUCCUUUACAAUCUUAGAAUUAGAGAGACACCCAUUAGAUUAGAACUCAUAACACAUUCAGAGAAUUUUGUGUUUACGUUUGAGGGUUCUUUGUUUUUCGGGUUUUCGGGGUUUAGUUUUUAUCUCCAUCUUUUGUACUCUUCAUUUUUUUGCCAUUAUAGUAAAAUUAUCUUUGCCCGUAGUUUUUUAUCCUCUUUUGAGGGGUUUUCCACGUUAAAUUUGUGUGUUCAUCUUCUCAAUUUCUUCUACUAUUUUUACUUGUUCGUUGCUUAAUCGGGACGAUCCUAACAAGUGGUAUCAGAGCUAGUUUAACUUUCAUAGAUCAGCCCGGUCAGAGAUGGCAGCAACAAGGUUUGAAAUUGAGAAGUUCGAUGGUGAGACAAAUUUCAAUCUGUGGCAAGUUCGGAUGAUGGCAAUUCUAGUUCAAAAUGGCUUGAAAAAGGUUGUUACAGAGAAAAAGCUUGAGAAUCUAAAUCAAACAGAAUGGGAAGAGCUUGAUGAAAAGGCCUUGUCUGCAAUCCAGUUGUGCCUCGCGAAUACAGUAUUGCAGGAGGUAUUGAUGGAGAAUACCUCAUUCGCCUUGUGGAAAAGGUUAGAAACUCUUUAUGCGACUAAGUCUCUGGCUAACCGUUUAGUGUUGAAACAACAUCUAUUUACGUUUCGCAUGAACGAAUGUGAGCUUCUUAAAGAUCACAUCAGUCAAUUCAUUACUCUUUUAAAUGAUUUAAAGAACGUUGAGGUUCAUAUUAACGAUGAAGAUCAAGCUAUGCUAUUAUUGUGCUCUUUACCCUCUUCAUACAAGUCUUUCAGGGAGACCCUGAUUUAUGGCAGAGACAAACUCUCGUUCGAAGAUGUGAAGGGUUAUUUGUUGAGUAGAGACAAACUCGACAAUGAGUUUGAUUUGAAUAGCAAAGAAGAUAGACAAGCUUCCGUUUUGGUAGCAUCAAAGAAACGAGACAAAAUGUGUUGCUAUUGCAAAAAGUUAGGUCACGUCAAAGCAAAUUGUUAUAAACUGCGAAAUAAAAGAGCUGCUGAGAGUAACGAGGAAGAUGUAGCUGGUGCUAAUUUGGUCGAUGAAGGCGGUGAUGAUUUCUUGUUAGUGUCAACGAGCGAUAACUCCAAGCUUACGUCUGAGUGGAUCCUAGAUUCAGGAUGUUCUUUCCACAUGUGUCCCAAUAGAGAAUGGUUCUCCACAUACAGUUCAGUUGAAGGUGGAGUUGUGCACAUGGGAAACGAUUCAUCUAGUAAAAUAAUCGGUAAUGGUACUGUUAAAAUUAGGAUACACGAUGGGACGAUUAGGACACUCUCAGAUGUCAGGUAUGUACCUGAUUUACGAAAGAAUCUCAUCUCCUUGAGUAUUUUAGACUUGAAAGGAUGCAGAAUCAACAUCGAGUCGAGCGACAUUAAAGUAUCUCGUGGAGCUCUCGUUUUGUUAAAAGGUAAAAGAACCGGCAGUCUUUAUAUUCUGGAAGGUUUUACAGUGACCGGUGAAAUCGGACGUCCCUCAUCCGUUACAGAGUCAAAGUCAACUCAUUUGAAGCGGAGGCAACUUGGUCAUAGGAGGGAAAAAGGUAUGACCGUUUCGUUGAAGAGAGGUUCUCUUUUGGAUGCAGGUUUUGAAAAGUUAGGGCACUGUAUUCGUGAAAUUCAGACCCGGGUUAGUUUUGAUUUGGCAGUGCACAAGUCAAAGGCUAGAAGUCUUCCAGCUUCUAAGCAUAGAUUCGACUCAGUUAAUUCCCUGCAUAGUUCAAGAUAGGCCCGUGGCGGGUUUUGGCAAAGAUGGCAUUGAAAGAAUUUGUGUCAAGAUGGAGAUUGUUAGAAUUGUGUGACCCAAAUUCUAAGAGAUUGCUUGCAAGUCAAGUUAAACAAAAAUAUAUUUUCUUUCUAGAAGAUUUAGUAUUUAUUAGUAUAAUAUAUUUAGCAUUUAUUAGUAUAGUUUAUUUGACUUGCUAAUUUAGCCUAUAAAUAGACUCCUUUACAAUCUUAGAAUUAGAGAGACACCCAUUAGAUUAGAACUCAUAACACAUUCAGAGAAUUUUGUGUUUACGUUUGAGGGUUCUUUGUUUUUCGAGUUUUCGGGGUUUAGUUUUUAUCUCCAUCUUUUGUACUCUUCAUUCUUUUGCCAUUAUAGUAAAAUUAUCUUUGCCCGUAGUUUUUUAUCCUCUUUUGAGGGGUUUUUCCACGUUAAAUUUGUGUGUUCAUCUUCUCAAUUUCUUUUACUAUUUUUACUUGUUCGUUGCUUAAUCGGGACGAUCCUAACACCGACCAAUAUAGAUGUAUUGAAGCAUACUCAAAUUCCCAAUUUCUAUUGGUAGGCUCCCCUCCAUUUGGUUAUACGCUAAAGAUAACAUUUGUAACUCUUUGCACUUGAAUAGACUGGCAGGAAUUCUACCAGAAAGCAGGUUACGACUCCAGUACAAUCCUUUCAAAUUUGGAAGAUGAUCAAACAUAUCUUUUGGGAUAUGACCAGUGAGAUUAUUGGAGGAGAAAUGGAUGACUUCUAGCAAAAGUAAAUCACGUGGAACAAAGGGUAUGGAACCAGAAAGCAUAUUGUAGCUUAGAUAUAUUUCUUGCAACGAAGAGAUAUUGAAGAUGGUGGAGGGAAUUGAACCUGAAAUCUGGUUUCCAGACAAAUACAAGACCUCUAGCUUUGACAAAUAGGCUAAAGAGAAUGGAAUAACACCUUUGAAGUUGUUUUGGUCCAAAAACAACCUUCGAAGUUCAGUUAAUGAUCCCAACCAUGAUGGGAUUUCUCCAUUGAAGGAGUUGUUACCAAAGCUUAAAUAUUUCAGCCGUCGCAAAUUGGAUAACUGGACAGGUAAUCCGCCAUAGAAACUAUUGUUUGUGACAUGAAGAAGAGAAAGGAAUGAUAAAUUUCCCAAGUGAGGUGGAAGGGUG